rnacentral:rRNA from 1 species
GAUGAACGCUAGCUACAGGCUUAACACAUGCAAGUCGAGGGGAAACGACAUCGAAAGCUUGCUUUUGAUGGGCGUCGACCGGCGCACGGGUGAGUAACGCGUAUCCAACCUGCCCACCACUUGGGGAUAACCUUGCGAAAGUAAGACUAAUACCCAAUGACGUCUCUAGAAGACAUCUGAAAGAGAUUAAAGAUUUAUCGGUGAUGGAUGGGGAUGCGUCUGAUUAGCUUGUUGGCGGGGUAACGGCCCACCAAGGCGACGAUCAGUAGGGGUUCUGAGAGGAAGGUCCCCCACAUUGGAACUGAGACACGGUCCAAAACUCCUACGGGAGGCAGCAGUGAGGAAUAUUGGUCAAUGGGCGAGAGCCUGAACCAGCCAAGUAGCGUGCAGGAUGACGGCCCUAUGGGUUGUAAAACUGCUUUUAUAAGGGAAUAAAGUGAGUCUCGUGAGACUUUUUGCAUGUACCUUAUGAAUAAGGACCGGCUAAUUCCGUGCCAGCAGCCG